rnacentral:rRNA from 1 species
AGUGAACGCUGGCGGUAGGCCUAACACAUGCAAGUCGAACGGCAGCACAGUAAGAGCUUGCUCUUACGGGUGGCGAGUGGCGGACGGGUGCGGAAUACAUCGGAAUCUACUUUUUCGUGGGGGAUAACGUAGGGAAACUUACGCUAAUACCGCAUACGACCUACGGGUGAAAGCAGGGGAUCUUCGGACCUUGCGCGAUUGAAUGAGCCGAUGUCGGAUUAGCUAGUUGGCGGGGUAAAGGCCCACCAAGGCGACGAUCCGUAGCUGGUCUGAGAGGAUGAUCAGCCACACUGGAACUGAGACACGGUCCAGACUCCUACGGGAGGCAGCAGUGGGGAAUAUUGGACAAUGGGCGCAGGCCUGAUCCAGCCAUACCGCGUGGGUGAAGAAGGCCUUCGGGUUGUAAAGCCCUUUUGUUGGGAAAGAAAAGCAGCAGGUUAAUACCCCGCUGUUCUGACGGUACCCAAAGAAUAAGCACCGGCUAACUUCGUG